AUACGGAGGGUCCAAGCGUUAAUCGGAAUUACUGGGCGUAAAGCGUACGUAGGUGGCUUGAUUAGUCGGAUGUGAAAGCCCUGGGCUCAACCUGGGAACUGCAUUCGAUACUGUCAGGCUAGAGUAUAGUAGAGGGAAGUGGAAUUCCGGGUGUAGCGGUGAAAUGCGUAGAUAUCCGGAGGAACACCAGUGGCGAAGGCGGCUUCCUGGACUAAUACUGACACUGAGGUACGAAAGCGUGGGGAGCAAACAGGAUUAGAAACCCCGGUAGUCC
rnacentral:rRNA from 1 species